AUUUUUAGCCGGAUAUGGUGGUUUUGGCGGAGGCAGAUGCAAUCCUGGAACCUUUUUUCUCUGUUCUGGCGUGGCUAUCUGAUCCCAACGCACGGCACGACACCGGUUUCCUGUUUAAAUAACCCCUCCCCCAUUUGUAUCUUGCUUCCCCUGGGCAGAGCACCACACCCCUCCUCUGUCCCUGCCACCCCCAUUAGGAGUGCCCUCCUCCCCUCCUCCCCUCCUCCUCCGUGCAGUGAUCGCUCUUGAAGCCAGGGAAGAAGCCGAAAGGAGCGAUCUUGUUUAGUAUUUUGCUGUCAAAAUCGGAUUUUUUAGCUUCAGGUCGUGGAGGAUCUUUUUAUUUGUUUCCUUUUUUGCCUUUGGUGAUGGCUUGGUGAGUGAGGAGAAAUGACUUCGGUGAUUGUUCUGAUGGAGACUGCGUCUACAGACAUGAUCUGCUUUCGUUUUUGUUCUGAAGCAAUCUUGGAGAUUUGAUCUUUCCACUCCAUUGAGGUUGAAGAGAAGAGAAUCUAACAGCCAGGAGUGAGCAAAGGAGCAAGAUAGUAUGCUGAGGAGGAGAUCGAAGGCAGUUGGUGGCAAACAGGGCUUGAUGUCUGAUCCCUACUCCCUCUCAUCUUCCUCUGGUAACAGCCACAAUAAGCCCACAGCUUCCUCCCUCUUCCCCUCUCCAAGUCUCUUCCGGAGCUUCUCUUCGAAGAGCUUCUCAGACCAUGAGGCGGCCAUGAUGAGCCCGACCUCCAUACUCGAAACUAAGCACUUGUCUUCCUUCGGCAACCUCUUACACUCCGAAACGCUGCCAAAGAAUCCUCCUUUGGAGAAUGCUUCAGCUGCCGCGACUGACACUGUUACAGAGAGCAAACACCACCCUUGGGACAGCAGCGGACAAGAGCCCAUCGGCCUCGGUAUCGUUGACGCUCUCACCGAUGACAAAGCCAUGCAGUCCUCCAAUCCGCAGCGUCGAAUGGUUCUGUUUGGAUCGCAGUUAAAGAUCCAAAUCCCGUCCGUGUGCUCGAGCUCCGGUUCGCCGCCGGCCAGGUCCAUGGAGUUGCCCAGUUCCCCAAUCGAAUUCGGCAUCAAGAACAAGGAUUCCCAGUUGGCUCUCUUCUCCCCCGUACUCAGAUCCCUGGGCCACGAAGCGCCCGCCGCCUCCUCUUCCCCAUGGGCUUUCACCACCGGGAGCAUCUCCGUGAGCGAGAUGGAGCUCUCGGAGGACUACACCUGCGUGAUCUCCCACGGGCCGAAUCCGAAGACCACGCACAUCUUCGACAAUUGCAUUGUGGAGAGCUGCGGCGACGAAUUCACCGCUGUGAUGGAGAGUAGUCCUCUUCCAAGCCAUGAAGGCUGCUCUGCGGAUGACUUCCUCUGCUGUGCAUGCAAGAAGAAUCUUGGAGAAGAAAUGGAUAUCCCUGUGAAUAGGUUCUUGUGGUCAUGUUUAGGGUCUUCUAGCUUGAGAAUUCAUAGCUGCAAUCGCCAACCUGAUCAAACUCGGAAUACUUUUCUGCAUGAUGCCACUAUUUUACAGAAUUCGUUGAUGAAUCUAUUCGAUCAACUUCUGUGCAAGAAAUCGCAAUGUCGUUUGCCUACUGAACGUGACGUUUUGAUUCCUUGUCACUUUCAUAACCAAGAUCAGACACCAGUGCUUAAUUUCGUAGAAAUGUGGCUUCUGUCCAAAGCUGUACACGCCUGGGGUCGCCAUGUCUCCUGUGGUUGCUGUUGGGGUCCCCCAAUUCCUCUUUAGAGGUUACCUUCACCAUCAAUUAAAAGCUCUCAGCAGUCAAUUCAGGAUAUGAUAAGCUUCAACCUCUGUGUUUUGGCAUAGAAAGUGACCUAACCAUGGCUGUGCUUUUCUUACUGGACCAUUUCAACCACUGAUGCAUAAAAUGUCUCCUUGAUGUGUGAUGGAGUGUCAAAGCCAUGAGAAGCACGUCAAUGAAGAGUUGGAAAAGCAGUAGUUGAUUCAUCACCAACAAUUUAGCACAAGCAUCUCUUCACCUUGUUUGCAGACGAUGGCGACGAUGAUUGAGCAUGCCUUGUUUCUUGUUAAUUGAAUUUGAUUGCCAUGGAUUGAUGUCAAAAAAUGAUGGAAAAUGAUCAGAAAAAGGUCCUUGUGGGGUGUUCUUUUUGUUGUUUUAGGCUGCUGAGGGCUUGUGUCACAGCCUUUUUUCCUUGGAUGAGAGAGUGAUGUCAAUGUAAAACUAGGAAACCUGAUCAAUCUUAUGUGCAUCUGUCUCCUUUUUGGCUCAUAAUUGUCAAGUUGUUGCUUCCA